ensembl:lncRNA
CUGAGAUCCCUGUUACGCUACUGGUCAAGAGAUACCCCAUGCCUCCCAAUGUGACCCUGGUAAGGCUUGUUUACAGCAGUCGGCAGCGCAGAGAGGUGGAGCUGGAGUGGCAGAUGGAGGGAGAGGGAGAAGGAGGAGAGGGAGGAGGGCUGACUGGAUUUAUACUUGAGCGCAGACUAGAGGAGGCACCAGGGAGAAGGAGAGGAGAGGAGGAAAAAGAGAAGGACAGAGAGGAGGCUGGUGCAGAUCCUGCUGACCAAGAGGAGCAGCGACAGGAAAAAAGGAGUAGUUUCUCUCCAUGGAAGCAGGUGGUUGUAUUGGAAGCCAGGGAGAGGGUCCACACGCUGGGCAACAUGACCCCAACAGAUACCUACCAGAUACGCAUCACAGCUGUCAAUCACAGAACCCUCGGACACCCAUCCCCCCCAGAAACACCAGCGGACCCUCCCUUCAGUGCGUACCCUGCUGUGAUUGGAGCUGCCAUUGGAGGGAUGCUCAUCACGACCAUAGCAACUGUUCUGCUGUUCAUGUACAUAUUCCGCAACUGCAACAACAACCCCAGACUCCAUGACAUGCUCUUUGGAAUGCAGCACAGCUGGUCCAGGGAGAACAUCAACCUCCCUGAUGAUGAGGUGAUGGGAGGAGUUGACGGAGAGGGAGGAGCUACAGAACAUUGCCCCUCCCCUAGCCCAGGUCACGUCCAUGUCCUCUCCUAGGGCUGCCUCCCCCGUCUCCCCUCCUCUAACUGCUGAGGACAACGAACCUGUCAACGUCACCAUCACCGUCAUGGCAACGGGCUGAAGAUCACACACACAUCCAUACAUACUGGAUAAUGCUGCGUUCAUAACAAGUGGAAACUCUGUAAAUACAAUUUGUAUUAAAAGUACAGCUGUCAUGCUCAAAAACAUUAUAGUGUUCAAAUACCAUACUAAUAGAUUAUUUUUCAAAAAUAAUGAUUUGCUGUUGCAUUUAACUUCCAAAAAUGCUGUUAUCAAGGUAAUUUCCUUAGUAUGUGAUGUCAGAGUUCAGCAUGUGGGAGAAGUCGAAGCUCAGAGAUGAUAGACGAGUUUCCCACUAGUAAUUACCAGUUGGAAGGGCAUGCAAGUGUAUUUUUCCAAGUCAUAUGCUGGUAUUUACAAAUAUAGGAG